AUUGAACGCUGGCGGCAGGCCUAACACAUGCAAGUCGAACGGUAACAGGAAGAAGCUUGCUUCUUUGCUGACGAGUGGCGGACGGGUGAGUAAUGUCUGGGAAACUGCCUGAUGGAGGGGGAUAACUACUGGAAACGGUAGCUAAUACCGCAUAACUUCGCAAGACCAAAGAGGGGGACCUUCGGGCCUCUUGCCAUCGGAUGUGCCCAGAUGGGAUUAGCUAGUAGGUGGGGUAACGUCUCACCUAGGCGACGAUCCCUAGCUGGUCUGAGAGGAUGACCAGCCACACUGGAACUGAGACACGGUACAGACUCCUACGGGAGGCAGCAGUGGGGAAUAUUGCACAAUGGGCGCAAGCCUGAUGCAGCCAUGCCGCGUGUAUGAAGAAGGCCUUCGGGUUGUAAAGUACUUUCAGCGGGGAGGAAGGGAGUAAAGUUAAUACCUUUGCUCAUUGACGUUACCCGCAGAAGAAGCACCGGCUAACUCCGUG
rnacentral:rRNA from 1 species